CCCUGCGGAGCCAGGCUUUCUGCUGUGACAGAGGCGAGGGGCCACAGGAGGCAGCAGUCCUUGCCAGAAACGGCCUCAGCCCCCUCCACGCCCCAGCUCACCGCGAGCUCCCCAUGCCGGCUGUGCCUCUCCCUUUCCAGAGCAAGGCGACACCAAACCCCCGCCGGGUCACAUCCUGUCUUCUUCAGAAUGGUCUUUGCACUGCUGCUAGGGACAGGGGCUACCAGAGCAAAAGGACAACGGAGGAGAACACUUAAGCCCAGUUUCCAGAAGCAUCUAAAAACUAGGUUUAACUGAAAGCCAUUAAGAGGGAAACAGCUUCAUCCAACUCCUCUGCCCACCAACCUGUGCUACACGUAUUCCAGGCUCAUCCCACACCUUGUUAAACUCCAGAAACUCCUCAAGAAUGCCCAUUCCCAGGACCUCACCAGUGGCAAAAUAUGAAAUGACAUACGAAGAGUUUAACUACGGGAGAACGGAGGUGCUUACCUGGAUCAAGACUUCUGAAUUGUAACUGCAGCAUUUUCCCUUAGUUCACAGUCAUCAUUCCCCUCACAAUGGCUCCAAAACCAGUAUUACUGCAAGCUAAAGGUGGAAAAAAAGAAAUAAAAUCAACCCAAAGUUAAUUUAAAGAGAAAAAAAAAAAAAGAGGAGAAAAUUGAGAGGAAUCAUCUGAAUGUUUUACAAGAGCUAAGAAUUUGCUAAAGCAUUUAUAAUAAAGGAAUCAAUUUCACUAAGCACAUACUCACAGCACUACGAAAUAUUUAAGGGGUAUAUACCUAACAAGUUAAGGAAACAAGUUUUCUUUUGAUGAUACUUGGUUACCCUAUUUAUUUCCUAAUAGUCCUACAGCCAUAAAAGGCCAAAGAACUCUGACCUUGGCAAACUAACUAAGCAAGAAAAGGCAAUCAUGUGUACAAGGUUGUCACCUACACCACAAAUUAUGAUAAAAUAUAUCUCAGUAUUGGAAAAAAUAGCUGUAUGUCUUCAGUGACAUCCACUGUAGUACAUUUAAGGAUUUGAAUAGGACAGCAAUUUAUUUUGCACUAAAAUGCUUUAUGGUUAUCAUAAAGCAUUAUGUCUUCAGAGACUGAAAGGUGAUGUUUUUAUGGAUUGUUGCUUCUUGUUGCAUUAUCUUCACAGCUUGGAAACUAACCUGCCUUUUUUUUUCCCCCCUCCAAAGUGGAGGAAAUAAAAGAUGGCACACAAUGGUUCAGUUUGAUCAAAACAAAACUGUAUUAAGAUAACUGUACAAGAAGCAUAUUUCUAACACAGAAAAAUUUCACAAUGAAUGAUUAUCCAGCUAAUUAGUGAAAUAAAUAAUAAUAAUUGCCUGUCCCUCCUCAUUAGAGUCGUAGAAAACUGAGUCCCAAAGCAUAGUUCUUGUCUUUGAGUUGAAAAAUUUGGACACCAUUAGUUUUACUAUCACUUUGCCAAAAAGCCAGUUCUACUGUGGAACAACUGAAUGAAGGACAGACAGGCAGACAGACAGGUUAAUAUGUAAGACGUCCCUUUUUUAGCCUAAGAAUAGUUUUGAGAUAGUAAACUGAGUAAUCUGAUGUGGCUAGUUUGCUCUUGAUUUAUCUCUUCCAGAGAGCCUGAACUGCCAGUUAGGCUUAGGUGGAACAAAUGUACAGCAUGUCCCUUUGACAUGUUAAUCUGAUGGAUUUCAAGCUCAUCUACGCCUAUGUAAAUCACAGAUAGUGUGAAAAUUGAUUAUGAGUCAAUAUUACAAAUAUAUCAAAGCCCCUUCUCCUUCAUCGUGUUCUCUAGCAUUUGACAAGUAUCACACUUCCACAUGGCUAACACUGGGUCCAUGCUUCUGUCACCUUUGGAUUUUAAGGUACUGUUUUGCCAGAUGUACCUUAAAAGGUCACAUUUUGAACAGACUGCCUGCCAAAGCCAGCACAUUUUAAACACGUUGCUUGAUGUUG
rnacentral:lncRNA from 1 species